ACAAAACUCUGGAAAAUCUGUAUUUAAAACAGUACCGAAGGUGAAAGAUGUUCUGCUCGAAACUCUCAGGUAAGUAAACAGAGGGAU
rnacentral:ncRNA from 1 species